rnacentral:rRNA from 1 species
GACGUAGGAUGCAAGCGUUGUCCGGAUUUAUUGGGCGUAAAGAGUUCGUAGGUGGUUCGUUAAGUCUGAUGUUAAAGACUGGGGCUCAACCCUGGGAGUGCAUUGGAUACUGGCGGACUGGAGUGCAGUAGAGGCAAGCGGAAUUCCAGGUGUAGCGGUGAAAUGCGUAGAUAUCUGGAAGAACACCGGUGGCGCAAGCGGCUUGCUGGGCUGUAACUGACGCUGAGGAACGAAAGCUAGGGGAGCGAAUGGG